AUCAAUCCACCUAGCUCAACCAAUCAACCAAAACACAACAAACUAAAUUAUACUACCUACUAAACAACUAAAACAUUAGCACCCUUAUAAACCUUAGUAUAGGAGAUAGAAAAGAU
rnacentral:rRNA from 1 species